rnacentral:lncRNA from 1 species
AGAAAAAAAAUUUCCCCAUGUAACUCUGUCCUAACUUUUACUAUGCUGAAGUCUAUUAUUCAUCAUGAGGAAUGAUGGGAGAUUCCCUACUACAUAAAGCUUCAAGGCAGAUCAUAAAAUAAGACUUUCUGGGUAAAAUUUGUCAUUUUAUGCUCCUGAAAUAGAAACUUUUAAGCAGCACCAAAUCACUCAUAUGUGAGCCAGCUGUGGCCCGCCCUGCUCCCCGCUGCAUCACUGCAGAUACUAAGCACCGUUACCAGUGUUCACGCGAAAGAUUCUGCAGCAGGGGACGCCCUCUGUGAGUGCCUUUAAAAAUGCCCUUGAAGUCAUUGUCCAGAAGAAAGAUUACGUCUGCUUCUAUGAAAAUACAUGAAGGCCAGCAGCCCGAUGUCUUCCAUAGAACCCGUGUAAAGUCUUCCAUAAUAUUAAGAUCAAGUAUUGACAGAAAAACCAGCGCGACAUCGCGUGUCAUGAAACCACCUGUUCCUGUGAGCACUGACUGAUACAUUCAGGUCAUGGUCUUUACCCGCCCCAGUGGGAGCUGAUUCCUGUUGAUGAUGAGGAAUACCCACAAGAUCAAAAUAUCCUGCAGUGUUGAGACUCUACAAAAAAAGAACGGAAUCACUAGAUCGUCUCGCCGACCCAAAGGAAGC